rnacentral:rRNA from 1 species
AACGAACGCUGGCGGCAGGCCUAACACAUGCAAGUCGAACGCCCCGCAAGGGGAGUGGCAGACGGGUGAGUAACGCGUGGGAACGUGCCUUUCGGUUCGGAAUAGUCCCGGGAAACUGGGGUUAAUACCGGAUACGUCCUUCGGGAGAAAGAUUUAUCGCCGAAAGAUCGGCCCGCGUCUGAUUAGCUAGUUGGCGGUGUAAUGGACCACCAAGGCGACGAUCAGUAGCUGGUCUGAGAGGAUGAUCAGCCACACUGGGACUGAGACACGGCCCAGACUCCUACGGGAGGCAGCAGUGGGGAAUAUUGGACAAUGGGCGCAAGCCUGAUCCAGCCAUGCCGCGUGAGUGAUGAAGGCCCUAGGGUUGUAAAGCUCUUUCGGCGGGGACGAUAAUGACGGUACCCGCAGAAGAAGCCCCGGCUAACUUCGUGCCAGCCGCCGCGGUAAUAC